rnacentral:rRNA from 1 species
CCUACGGGUGGCAGCAGUGGGGAAUAUUGCACAAUGGGGGAAACCCUGAUGCAGCGACGCCGCGUGAGUGAAGACGUAAUUCGUUAUGUAAAGCUCUAUCAGCAGGGAAGAAAAUGACGGUACCUGAGUAUGAAUCCCCGGCUAACUACGUGCCAGCAGCCGCGGUAAUACGGAGGUGGCCAGCGUUAUCCGGAUUUACUGGGUGUAAAGGGGGCGUAGACUGCAGUGGAAGUCUGGAGUGAAAGGCGGGGGCUCAACCCCCGGACUGCUCUGGAAACUGUCCGGCUGGAGUGCAGGAGAGGUAAGUGGAAUUCCUGGUGUAGCGGUGAAAUGCGUAGAGAUUAGGAAGAACACCAGUGGCGAAGGCGGCUUACUGGACUGUAACUGACGUUGAGGCUCGAAAGCGUGGGGAGCAAACAGGAUUAGAUACCCCGGUAGUC